GCGAUCAUACCAGCACUAAUGCACGGAUCCCAUCAGAACUCCGCAGUUAAACGUGCUUGGGCGAGAGUAGUACUAGGAUGGGUGACCUCCUGGGAAGUCCUCGUGUUGCACCCC
rnacentral:rRNA from 1 species